rnacentral:lncRNA from 1 species
GCAUUUACAACAGUUUCUCCCUUAGCAAUGUUACCUGUAAGCAUGUUAUGCAAAAGAAAACAAACAAUUAUGUUGAAGAUUUAGUGAAAAAAUCGUAAAAGUAAGUAAAGGUUAUAUCGUAAUUGGAAAUAGUGUCCAUGGUGUACCCUUUAUAAAAAUCAUUUUUUGAAAACAUUUCCUUAACUUUGAAUAAUGAAACAUAUUGAUUAUAGAAACAUGCACCAGUAACAACAUAUAGAAUAGGGGAAUGGAGCACUUAUUUCGUAACUGAAUCUUAAAAUACACCUUAAAUCAUUGGUGUUACUGUCAAUGGUGAGACCAUUUUGAUAAAAUAACACCAUUGACUAGUUUAGUAACACCACUGAAUAUAUCA